rnacentral:sRNA from 1 species
ACAGAGCCUGGGCUCACUGACCAGCCAGGGAGGAACCAGCCUCUGCCUUACCAGGCCAUCAAUCCCUGAAGCCAGGGGAUCUGCCCUGCCAGACAGGGGCAUGCGUGUGUGUGUUUCAGGCUUAUCAUCCUUGCAUUGCUGGGGGUUUUGCAACACAGGGAAUGUUGCUGGUCUGGUUGAGGUUUCUGUCGUGCCACCCCUCCUGCCCUGCUUAUGGAGCUACUGUAUGUGUCAGGGCCGUUUGCAUCCUGUUACUAGUCAGUCUCUCUUAAUGCACUUUAGGAAACUCUUCCCUUUCCUUGCACGUGCUUUGCGUAUACUAGUUCCCCAUAAAGAAUGUCACUGCCUGAAACAGAACAUUCUGUGAAAUGCAGGGCUGUUGGAUUCACAUGUUAAAUUGUUUCAUCUCAAUCAAGAGGGUUGUGUAGGAUCCAGGGAAGAUUUAUCCCGGGGGGUCAAGAGAUAUCGAUGCCCUCCCAGAAGGAGUUGCCAGCCCACUGAGCAGGGUGGUUCUGCCCUCUUGCCUGGCACUGGAUCUCAAGUAUUUAAGAAGAAAAGAAUGGAAUACAAAGAUGUUAGAAGCGCUUUGGGCAGAUUUUCCAGCAAGACUGGGUUUAUCUGCCCCUAGGGCCACUACACUGUAGCGUGCAUUGCAAAUCAUGGUGGAGAAAGUACCAUUUGAUUUAACAUAUCACUUUUCCACCUUUUCCUAGCUACCUUUGUAGUCUGAUAACUUGUGCCAGUUAGUAUUAUUUGCUGCAGUAAUUGGCCCCCUCAGCUCAGUAACUUCCAAGGCUACUGAACUACAGGGUUCAGAAAGUAGAAGGGAGCCAUGCAGUCUUUCCACCGAGCCCUGUUCCCUCAAUUUAUGACCCCAGAAGGGUUAAGAGAAGGCCCAAGUCCCUCUGUUUCCAGUGGAGCAGAGGUUCUUAGCAGUGAGUUUUAGUGUUGAACAAAAAUCAAAGCUAGAGCCUACUGGGGUUGAGGAAUGUGUUGUUUUCUUCCUUUCUCGGUCAUUCCCUGUUUCACACGGCUCUGAUAAGUUCACCUUGUAGGACUAGGUCACACUUAGGUGAUGAAAAAUUUUCAUCCUGUGUUAUGUUUUCUCAGUGACUCAGAGAAGGGAAACCCAGGCUGAUUCUUUUUCCUUCUAAUCCAUCUCCUGAAAACUGUUCAGAACCUAACUAUUGCUCUGUUUCAUUUCAGGGCCAAGAUUAACACCCCUCCUGCAGGAGGAAGACAGCCACCAGCGGCUGCUCAUGGGGCUGAUGGUGUCUGAGCUAAAAGACCAUUUUUUGAGACACCUACAGGGUGUAGAAAAGAAGAAAAUUGAACAGAUGGUUCUGGACUACAUUUCAAAACUGCUGGAUCUCAUUUGCCACAUCAUAGAAACCAUUUGGAGGAAACAUAAUCUUCAUUCCUGGGUUCUCCACUUCAAUAGUCGUGGCAGUGCUGCUGAAUUUGCAGUUUUUCACAUCAUGACCAGGAUUCUGGAAGCUACAAACAGUUUGUUUUUACCUCUGCCUCCUGGUUUUCAUACUCUGCACACCAUCCUUGGGGUCCAGUGUCUCCCUUUGCAUAACCUGCUGCAUUGCAUUGACAGUGGAGUGUUGCUUCUCACUGAAACAGCUGUCAUAAGGCUCAUGAAAGAUCUGGACAAUACAGAGAAAAAUGAAAAACUGAAAUUCAGUAUCAUUGUGCGGCUUCCUCCGCUUAUUGGUCAGAAGAUUUGUAGACUUUGGGAUCAUCCUAUGAGUUCUAACAUCAUUUCACGGAACCACGUGACGCGACUGCUUCAGAACUAUAAGAAACAGCGUCGGAAUUCUAUGAUUGACAAGUCAUCGUUCAGUGUAGAAUUUCUGCCUCUGAACUACUUCAUUGAAAUUCUGACAGAUAUAGAGUCCUCCAAUCAAGCCCUGUAUCCUUUUGAAGGACGUGACAAUGUGGAUGCAGAAUUUGUAGAGGAAGCAGCUCUGAAACACACCACGAUGCUUUUAGGCUUAUGAAAAAGAAAACGCAAUUGGAUCUGCUGCUGCCAUUUUAAUCUUGCUCAUUAACCUUACUCCUUUGAGAAUUCUUUAACAAUAUUUGAAAUUGGGAACAAAAAUAAAUUGUUUAGCCAUCUGAGUUUCAGGUUGGUACACGUUCGGACAGAACUGCUGUAUCACAUUCCAAUUGUGAGCAAUCAAGUGUAGAGAAAUGAUAAAUAGCCUAAGGCGGCAUACAGUGGCAUAAACAAUGCUCUUCCUAGUAGCUUAAUAGGCCAUAAGCUAGUUUCUGUUGCACUCUGAAAUAAAAUAUGCUUUAAAAAUGUAGGGAACAGUGCUUAGAAAAGCAAAAACUAGGUGUGUCAUUGAAAUAAUAGGCAGAAAAAUUAAAUGUUACAUAAGAACACUAUUUGGAAAGAGGCUCCUUUUAAAAACUGAAUUUGUACUAAAUCAGAUUUGCCAUGUCCAGUACAGAAUAAUUUGUACUUUUAGUAUUUGCAGCAGGGUUUGUCUUUGUGAAUUCAGAUGAAACGUAUUUAAUUUUUUUUAUUUAUAAAAGGUUGAUUGAUUUAGGAAUAUUUUGUCAUUAAAAAGCCAAACCUGAAAACAAA